GUGUUUGUUUACCUGUAAAAUAUUUUACAGAAAACAUUUUCAUUCUUUUCCGCUGUUUGUUUGGUGGAAAAUGACUUCCUAUUGUAAAAUCAUUUCAAAAACACAUGAAAAAAAGCCCUUUAUUUUAGGAAAACGUCUUACCAUUUUCAUUUGGUAAGACAUUUUCCAAAAAUUUUCUCCUCACCUGCAAACGAAUCCCCUUCAUUCCCACCCCGAUUUAAUGCUUGCCGCCAACCAACAACAGUUUUCAGCACCAAUCGCUGGUGUGGAUCUUUGAUUUACCCCUUUUCACCUUUCGUUGUCAAAAUCUGCACUGCACCAGUUGGCGAUGGCAUUCAUCUUCAUCUCUCGAAGCAGAGGUUUUCAAGAAGGCAAGGACAUAUGAUGAAAAAAAGCUGUUUGGCGUCACUACCCUUGAUGUAAUUAGGGCUAAGACUUUCUACGCUGAGAAGGAAAAAGUAAACGUUGCAGGAUCGUGAGCCUUGUUCCACCAUUGAAGCUUGAAACACCCAAAGGAAAGGCACCAUUGUAGAUUCAAGAACCAGCAACACCUUACAAUGCAAGGCCUUGGACCAUGCAGAUUCAUUAGGUCUUGUACUAAUAAAAGUAGCAGAACAAGGACCUUGAUUAACUAGUUGGUCAAUGCAUUGAUGAGUCUCCAACAUCCACAUUCAAAAACUAGAAUCCAUGCUGUCAAAAUCUAUGGUCCAAAGGUAAUGUUUGAUCGAGGUCCAAUAGUGGCUUUCAAUGUAUUUGAUUGGAAAGGGGAAAGGAUUGAUCCUGCAUUAGUGCAAAAACUGACUAAUAGGAACAAUAUUUCAUUGUGCAUUGGGUGUUUACAACACAUUUGGUUCAGUGUUAAACAUAAAUAAAUGAAGGAAAAAGAUGAGUUUCAGCCUGGGAUAGAUGUUACUGCUACAAUUGGGUUCCUUACUAGUCUUGAAGACAUUUAUAAGCUUUGGGUAUUUGUUUCAAGGUUCUUGGAUGCUGAUUUUUUAGAGAAAGAGAAAUGAAGAUAUAAAGCUAUUAAUCAAAAAACAAUUGAAAUUUAGUCCAAGAACUUGUUAAUUCUUUCCUUCUUUGUAUAUUAUUGUCUGGUAUGAACUUUAGUCCAAAAAUUAUGAUCAGGUAUCAAAAUUUGUAAUAUUAAUUGUGGUUUAUCUGAAAAAGUGUGACGUUUAUCUGAAAAA